rnacentral:rRNA from 1 species
AACGAACGCUGGCGGCAGGCUUAACACAGGCAAGUCAAGCGCCCCGCAAGGGGAGCGGCAGACGGGUGAGUAACGCGUGGGAAUCUACCCUGAUCUGCGGAAUAGCUCCGGGAAACUGGAAUUAAUACCGCAUAUGCCCUGAGGGGCAAAGGUUGAUCCGGAUUGGGAUGGGCCCGCGUUGGAUUAGCUAGUUGGUGGGGUAAAGGCCUACCAAGGCGACGAUCCAUAGCUGGUCUAAGAGGAUGAUCAGCCACAUUGGGACUGAGACACGGCACAAACUCCUACGGGAGGCAGCAGUGGGGAAUAUUGGACAAUGGGCGCAAGCCUGAUCCAGCCAUGCCGCGUGAGUGAUGAAGGCCCUAGGGUUGUAAAGCUCUUUCACCGGGGACGAUAAUGACGGUACCCGGAGAAGAAGCCCCGGCUAACUUCGUGCCAGCAGCCGCGGUAAAAC